UACGAAGAGUGCAAGCGUUAAUCGGAAUUACUGGGCGUAAAGCGUGCGUAGGCGGUUUGUUAAGUCUGUUGUGAAAUCCCCGGGCUCAACCUGGGAAUGGCAAUGGAUACUGGCAAGCUAGAGUGUGAUAGAGGAUGGUGGAAUUCCCGGUGUAGCGGUGAAAUGCGUAGAGAUCGGGAGGAACAUCAGUGGCGAAGGCGGCCAUCUGGAUCAACACUGACGCUGAGGCACGAAAGCGUGGGGAGCAAACAGG
rnacentral:rRNA from 1 species